rnacentral:misc_RNA from 1 species
CGGGCCACCUCGCCGUGGCACUAGGGUCUAGCUCCUGCCCUAUUGGGAAGCCAAGAGCCUGCAGCCUGCCCUUGGGUGCGUCGGACUCUUAGCGUCGGCGGGAAAUAUCUGCACUGGCACUAUGCUGGAGAGACUUGCAACCAUUACCACGCUCGCUCUUGCCCACUACGAAUCGUGUCGGCGAUUGGACAAAUCCAACCAGCUGUGAGUUCUGUGUGCGCAGACGCUUGAUCUGCGUGCCCCCUUCUGCUUGACGUACCCACUCCUGUCAAAGGUGUGCGGAUACAGGAGAGGGUGGAAUGCCUCCUGCUGCCAAAGGCUCACGGCAGUGUCCUGGUUGUCGCGGCAACGUGCGGGCAAGCCAUCCAGGCACGCCCCCUCCUCCUCCGCCAGGCAAGAACGCCCUCUUGAGACAGGCCACAGGAUGCCGCAAAUGCGAGACCUGCGCGCUGGCGCUGUGAAGCACAGCUGGAACGGUGCAGCACACCCGAACAAGGCAUGCAGAGGUGAGAGGGGCCAUGGUGAUGGACGGGAGAGGAGCAAAGGGAUCCACAUGCAUCAGCCCCAAUGUGCGUGUGUGCAGAACAUGUGGCAGUCCCUCUACAUCCCAACGGGGUGGGCUGAUGAGGCGCAGACGCCGGAAGCAUGACGAGAGCACCACCGAGUUACACCAUCGAGCCCUCCAGGCUCGCACGUGGCGAGACACCGCACCAUAAUACGGCACGCCGCGACUUGAAGUGACUGCGAGAGAAGCAUGGCACACAGGCAGAGUGUGCAGGGCCUCGGAAGCGCCCUGGUCUCAGGCUGACCCAUUUCCUCGAGCUCGUGCGGCAUGCACCUAGGCGACCGCCCCCUGCUACCCGCACGACAGAGACGUCAUCGCUUCCUCGCUUCAGCGCGACGCUAGACGCGGCCCACGCGAGCGUCCGCGUGACGCCGAUCGCACAGCACGUAUGCGAAAGAAGGGACGAGGACGGACAAGGAGGAGCCCGUUAGGUGCAUGACCUCGAUUCCGCGGCAGGACGGUUUGUCCCAGAGGGCUGGGGUUCAGCCGUAUGCCUACCUUUGUAGGCAAACGGCUGUGCUUGUGCAUGCGUCUCUUAUUUAUUUAUUUCGCGCGUGUUUACGGUAUACUGACACACAGAAAAAAACUAAAGGAAAGCCAAACGACGGAGCACGCCCCAGCUCCCCGGAUCACGGCUGCCGACACACGAACUCCUCGUGACUUACCAUUCCAAUGAUACAUUUUUUUUUUUCGGCUUUAGCGUGUCUACUCCAUGACUCACCCAUUUUCCUAUCAGUGAAAAAGGCGGCAUGGUGACAAACCCUACCUCCGCAAAGAAGAAAACGAAGGGACGACCAUCCCAUGACGGCACAGGGCACAUUUCUCCACUGCUGGGCAUGCGCGAGACGCCAGCAUCUGCAUGUUGUUCAACCUUCGCUCGGGGUGUUGGCGGAAUGCAUGCCACGGCGAAAAUGUAUGCGCAUGCGCUGCCCCGCCACCGCCCCACCGCUUUCCCCCUUUCUGUAAGGAAGAAUGAUGCAAAUCGCUCGGCGCGCAUCAGCUCGCCCCAGUUUUGACUGUUCCCUGUCGACGUUUUCUGUUGCCUACAUCUCCACCUCUUCUCGCACCAUGAAACAUGUGCCCCUGCACUUCCCCACAUCUACUUGUACGUGCAUGUAG